rnacentral:lncRNA from 1 species
AUAUUCUCAUUGCUUGUAUUAGAUUCAAAAUCAAAUCAUUCCAAUGAUACAAAGGAGGAGUUCUGUAGUAGUGGGCCCCAACCUUGCGACAAUUGAAUCAUCAACAACAAUAAUGUACAAAGUUACUCUAAUCUUAUCCUAUUGAAUCAUAACACAGUUGUGUCUCCGCUUACUCCCACAUUCUCCUCGUCGAAACCCUAAAACCAUCAAAAUUAUGUCAAUCGAUUAAUUUUGUACUGUUUCUGUCCUCACAAAUUACUAAUCUCUUGCAUUAAAAAAAGCUAUGCCAGGAGUAACACAAAACCCAUAACCUUGGUCGCAUAACU